GCCUGGCUGGGGGCCCUGCUGCCCUCACCCUGAGUGUCUGUGUUAUCAGUGUGGAGCAAUGUGUGGCUGCUCUCCUCAGGGCUCACUCAGCUCUAAUCAAGUUUUCCAGAGCCGCGGUCCAAAUGAGGAUCUGUGUGCAGAAUAUCCGACCCAGGAGAACGGGAUGGAGCUUUGCAUGGGAAGCAAUGCCAGGCUGGAAAUUUCCAAAGCGCUCAGCGGUUCACCUGCACUGCAGCGCAGACCACAUCCCCUCCGUGCACAGCUCUGCCAGCCCUGAGCUCCUGCUCGCAGGUGGAUGGGUUGCACUCAGCGCUGGAAGAGUGUUGUAAGGCAGCUUUAUAAUCGCUUUAUAAUCUCUGAAAUUGCUUUCUACCAUUAUUUCCGCUCCUGGAUCCAACUGUCCAUCAGCAGCUUUCAGUGCAAAUGUGUUUUUUAAUGCUUGUCUUGCAGUGUUUUGCAAACAAUGGACCCAUUAUUGUCUUGAGUUCAGAUGGCCUGCUUACACGUAACCAUGGCCAUCCAUAUAACCUCCUUGUUCCGUUGAACGGUGCAGAGGAUGCAAACAAUGUGUGCUGUUCUGAGAGCAAAUGCAGAAGUGAUCCAUACUGCACAGGUCACAGCGGAGCCUGGCCGUUAAUUGGCUGUACAGUUGUAGGAGAAGGGAGGAAAACCCAACCACAGCCCAUCUUUGUAGCUGGGCCAAAGGUGGGCAAGAUCACAGCUGAAGUGCUCACGUGGGCUCCUGAUUGUGGAAACACGCUGAAUAUGUGAUACAAUGUGAAGUUACGUAACACCUUUAAUGAAAUUCUUGGCGAUAAAACAAUGCAUAAAAAGAACAGAUGUGGCAAAUUGCAGCCCCGGUCUGAUCCCUUU
ensembl:lncRNA